CGCUUCCAGAUGUUUCGUAUAUACUAAACAAACGAGGAGCAACUCAGCUGUGCAUCAAUGGGUAUCCAUUCAUCCGUUCGAAAACAACCGAGGAUUACCAGUACUGGACCUGCAGAGAGUACAAAGCUCUACGUUGCACGGCUCGGGCCGUUUCGGAUCGUCGAGAACGGAGGGACGAUCCUACCGUCAAGCUACGGGGCGUUCACAAUCAUGUCAUUUUGGAGCGCCGUGAUGCGGAAGAAAGUGCCAAAGACACGACGACGCAAGUCCAACCUACAACAUUGCCCAUCGUAGGGCAGUGGUACGAAACCAGUUUUACGUUCACCAAAGGUCGCCGAGGCAAGCUGUUACUGGAUCUACACGGUUACAAACUGAGACAGAAGAGAAUUGGCAAACGUAUAACAAGGUGGUACUGCUCGAACAAAACUUGCCCGGCACGUGCCUUUACCUUCGGUGAUAGGUACAUCAGAUUCGCAGAGUUAUAUCACAAUCAUCCGAUAAAAACUGGUUCUUCAGCGUGGAUUCCUCUAGUACCUACCAAUUUACCUUUUCUACCAAAUUCAAAAGACAUGGCCUGUUAGGUCCUACUCUACCAUUAUUGAUGUUUGAUUGAAAAAAAAUCAUUAAAUAUUGUUUGUUGAUCUUGAUCUAGUACAUCCUUUCAAUUGUGGAAGUAUUAUCUCUGAUUGAGUGGAAACCGAAACUAUCUUUCCAAGCAAACAUCGUAUUGUGUAUUGCAUUUUUUUGACAUACAGUUUUUCCAUUGUACUUCCAUUUUUAUUUAUUUAGAUACUCCAUUCCGGUCUACGGCAAUGCCUAUCGUGGGACAAUGGUACGAAACCGUUUUGACAUUUACCACCAGUGUCUUCGGGAACCAAAUACUCGAUCUACAAGGAUACAGACUGUAUAAGAAGAAAACGUUAUUGUUAGAGUAUGCUACCUUUUGAAAAUUAACACAUUUAGGCCAAUUCUACGUUUUCUAGAGUGAGCGAAAUUUGGACCCAUUUUGAACGAAAUUUAGAACCCGUGCACGAAAUUUGGCACUUUCAAACAAAUCAAAACUAAUGCUGUAACUAUCUCGUAUAAUGUGAAUUUUUCUUGCGAGCUACAGUACCAGCACUAAAUAUCAUUGAAGAAAUUAAUCUGAUAUACUUUAUGGUAAAAUUUCAGACGUUUAUCAAACUUUGAGAAUUCUUAAGUGCACGAAAUAUGGGCACCUCACGGUAUGAGGAAUAAAAUUUGUAACAUUGUUUAUAAUUUGUUUGUGUCGUAGUUGAUCUAGUACAUCAGUUUAAUUGACCAAUUUUUUUUUAAUCUUUCAGAUAUUUCGUUUACCCUAAAUAAAGGAAAGGCGACUCAAUUAUGUGUCAACGGAUACCCCUACAUCCGCUCCAAAACGACCGAAGAUUUCCAAUAUUGGUCCUGCAGCCAGUACAAAGUUUUACGCUGUCCGGCGCGAGCCAUUUCCGGCCGCCGAAAGCAGGGUAAUAAUCAAACUUCGGGGCACCCACAAUCAUGGGAUAAUUUUGGAGCGCCGCAAACCUGGCAAAAGUGCCAAAUUGCUGAAACUGAACGCCCUGGAGCGGAAGAUGGAAGUGUUGCCAGAUGAGCGGAAACGAUUGCCACCGGGAGCACCAUUGCCGGUGGAAUGUGUACUGGAAGGCGAUAAUCCGUCCUCGUCAAAGUGAAUCCGAAUGGUAGAGAUGUUUGCUGAGUCAUUCUAGUACUACAGCUUGAAAGCGUCGUAUGUAGGCGGUUAUCGAAAUUGAACUUGGAAUAAUUCAUUUAUUUAAUCAAUUUGAAAUCUGAUAACACUUCUAUUUUACUUAUUUUAUCAAACUGAUCUAGUACUGCAGUUUUAUUAAUUGGAUGUAACCGCUGUUCAAAUUACAGAUAUUUCAUUCGUGAUUAGCAAACGUGGCCAUACUCAAUUGUGUGUUGAUGGCUUCUUGUACACUCGUGCAAAAACAACCGACGAAUUGCAAUUUUGGACAUGUAAUCAGCAUAGGGUACUGGGUUGUACGGCACGGGCAACGUCUGGCCGCGGUAAGAAAGAUGACCGACCGGUCAUGAAAUUGCGCGGCUUUCACAAUCACAAGAUUAUCCAGGAACGUCGGAAGGCCGGUGAAGGUGCCAAGCUGCGAGAACAGUUCGCCCGCAAGCGGGAGGAGGAAGUGUUGCCAAGGAAGAAAAAGAAGCAACUUCAACCGCUACCGUUGGAGUGUGUUCUGGAGACGGACAGCAAAGAAAAGUCCACCGUUGGAAAUCGGACAAACAAUUGAAAAUGUAUUUUCAUAAAUAGGUUUGAGCACAAAUACUGUGAUGAGGGUUAUGGUAACAAGGACAGCAAUUCCGAAAUCUUGUAUAUAAAUUAUAUUAUCUACAGGUUUUAGAUUUUCAGUACUGCAGUUUGGAAGCACCAUAUAUGAGCUGAAAUUCAGUUAGAAGUUUGCAUAAUGUAUAUGUUUAAUAAAUUAAAAUCGACGUUUUAAAUCCCAAUCAAUUUCUAUUUUAUCUGUUUUGACAAAUUGACCUAGUACUGCAGUUCUUUUAUUCGACUAAUUGUAAUCAAUAUUCAAUUUGCAGAUAUAUCAUUCGUAAUUAGCAAACGCGGCAAAACUCAAUUAUGCGUCGAUGGCUAUUUGUACACUCGGGCGAGAACAACUGAACAAUUGCAAUUUUGGACGUGCAAUCAGGAUAGGGUACUUGGGUAAGUUAUCAUAGUGUA